rnacentral:rRNA from 1 species
UACGUAGGAGGCAAGCGUUGUCCGGAGUUACUGGGCGUAAAGGGCGCGUAGGCGGCGUGGUAAGUCACUUGUGAAAUCUCUGAGCUUAACUCAGAACGGCCAAGUGAUACUGCUGUGCUAGAGUGCAGAAGGGGCAAUCGGAAUUCUUGGUGUAGCGGUGAAAUGCGUAGAUAUCAAGAGGAACACCUGAGGUGAAGACGGGUUGCUGGGCUGACACUGACGCUGAUGCGCGAAAGCCAGGGGAGCAAGCGGG